rnacentral:piRNA from 1 species
UAACCAAAACUUCGGGAGACCUGGGGUC